GGUAUGGCGUAGUUGGUUAACGCGCCAGAUUGUGGUUCUGGAGAUCCUGGGUUCGAGUCCCAGUAUC
rnacentral:tRNA from 1 species